rnacentral:lncRNA from 1 species
UUCACAUCCCUGCCACCUCCACAGAAACAGGUGCUGGUAUCCAAGUCUGAGACCCAUAGAUGGUUCACAUCACAGGACUCUGUGUAGACAACCCCCAGUACCAGUCCAGAGCCUGGUAGACUUCCUAGGUGGCUAGACCCAUAAAAGAAAUAACAAUCACUACAGCUCAGCUCUCAGGAAGCCACAUCCAUAGGAAAAGGGGGAGAGUACUACAUCAAAGAAACACCCUGUGGGACAACAGAAUCUGAACAACAGCCUUCAGCCCUAGACCUUCUCUCUGAUAGCGCCUACUCAAAUGAGAAGGAAUGAGAAAACCAACUCUGGUAUUUUUCCCCGACUUGCAGCAGCACAUCCCAUUUCCUUGAGUUAUGAAAGUGUUCCCCUGAGAGAGACUCCAGUAACACCCUUCCUCCUCCCAAAGCUUACUCCUGCACCUGCCUCCACGGGAUGCCAAACUAGACUGGAGGCUAACCCCUAAGGAGGCCCCCUCCCCAUCACCUCACAAGCUAAGCAUCCCAGCUGAGAGGCCAGAAUGUGGUAUAUGGCCGGGCGCGGUGGCUCACGCCUAUAAUCCCAGCACUUUGGGAGGCCGAGGUGGGCGGAUCACCUGAGGUCGGGAGUUCCAGACCAGACUGACCAAAAUGGAGAAACCCCGUCUCUACUACAAAUACAAAAUUAGCCGGGUGUGUUGGCGCAUGCGUGUAAUCCUAGCUACUUGGGAGGCUGAGGCAGGAGAAUCGCCUGAACCCGGGAGGCAGAGGUUGCCGUGAGCCGAGAUGGCGCCAUUGCACUGCAGUCUGGGCAAGAAGAGCGAAACUCCGUCUCAACAACAACAACAAAAAAAGUGGUACAAAUGAAUCGUUUAUGGAACAACCUAUACAAUACCUUGGUGAACACUUCUUGUGCACUUGAGAAGAGUGAAUCUGCUGCGCACACUGCUCUGAUUGUGUCAGUUGGGUAAGUCAGUCUGUAGCACUGAUCAAUAUCGAAUAUUCUUCUUACUGAUGUUUUUUGUUUCAUUGUUUUGUCAAUUAUUAAGAUUGUUUAAAAUCUACUAUGAUGAAGAAUUUAUCUAUUUCUCCUGUUAGUUCUGUCAUUAUGCUUCAUGGAUUUUGAAGUUUAUACACUUUAUUCAUUUUGAAAAUCAUCCUUAUUCUUCCUGCUAAUACUCCAUAAUUUGAAGUCUGCUUUGUAAGAUGUUCAUAUAGCCAUGAAACUCCUUAAGUUUACCUGCACAAUGUAUGUUGUUUUCCAUCUUAUCAACCUGAGUCAUACAUGGUUGUCUCCUGUAGGACACAAAUAGUUUGAUCAUUUUUUUAAAAUCUAAUCUGUUAAUACAUACCUUUUAAUAAGAGUUUAGUUCAUUUAACUUCAUGUGAUUGUUUGCUUUUAAGUCCACUGUAUUGAUUUGUUCUAUUUGUACCAUUUCUUUCACUGAGUGUGUACUUCUCCUUUCCUUUCUUCAUGUGGGUUAUCUGAAUCGUUUUAAAUAUUAAAUUUGAAAUCCUCCACUGGAUUUUUAGUUGCACUUCUUUUUAUUAAAAAAAAUACCACUCUCAUAUUUACAAUGUGCAUCAUUGUCUGACCAUAGUCUUCUUAGGGCUAACACUG